CAUGCAAGUCGAACGAUGAUCCCAGCUUGCUGGGGGAUUAGUGGCGAACGGGUGAGUAACACGUGAGUAACCUGCCCUUAACUCUGGGAUAAGCCUGGGAAACUGGGUCUAAUACUGGAUAUGACUGAUCACUGCAUGGUGGUUGGUGGAAAGCUUUUGCGGUUUUGGAUGGACUCGCGGCCUAUCAGCUUGUUGGUGGGGUAAUGGCCUACCAAGGCGACGACGGGUAGCCGGCCUGAGAGGGUGACCGGCCACACUGGGACUGAGACACGGCCCAGACUCCUACGGGAGGCAGCAGUGGGGAAUAUUGCACAAUGGGCGAAAGCCUGAUGCAGCGACGCCGCGUGAGGGAUGAAGGCCUUCGGGUUGUAAACCUCUUUCAGUAGGGAAGAAGCGAAAGUGACGGUACCUGCAGAAGAAGCGCCGGCUAACUACGUGCCAGCAGCCGCGGUAAUACGUAGGGCGCAAGCGUUAUCCGGAAUUAUUGGGCGUAAAGAGCUCGUAGGCGGUUUGUCGCGUCUGCCGUGAAAGUCCGGGGCUCAACUCCGGAUCUGCGGUGGGUACGGGCAGACUAGAGUGAUGUAGGGGAGACUGGAAUUCCUGGUGUAGCGGUGAAAUGCGCAGAUAUCAGGAGGAACACCGAUGGCGAAGGCAGGUCUCUGGGCAUUAACUGACGCUGAGGAGCGAAAGCAUGGGGAGCGAACAGGAUUAGAUACCCUGGUAGUCCAUGCCGUAAACGUUGGGCACUAGGUGUGG
rnacentral:rRNA from 1 species